UACAGAGGGUGCAAGCGUUAAUCGGAAUUACUGGGCGUAAAGCGUGCGUAGACGGUUACAUAAGUCAGAUGUGAAAGCCCCGGGCUCAACCUGGGAACUGCAUCUGAUACUGGAUGGCUUGAGUUCGGGAGAGGGAUGCGGAAUUCCAGGUGUAGCGGUGAAAUGCGUAGAUAUCUGGAGGAACACCGGUGGCGAAGGCGGCAUCCUGGACCGACACUGACGCUGAGGAGCGAAAGCCAGGGGAGCAAACGGG
rnacentral:rRNA from 1 species